rnacentral:rRNA from 1 species
UACGAAGGGGGCUAGCGUUGUUCGGAGUUACUGGGCGUAAAGGGCGCGUAGGCGGCCUUUCAAGUCGGGUGUGAAAGCCCACGGCUCAACCGUGGAGGUGCAUUCGAGACUGGAAGGCUUGAGGACGGGAGAGGAUGGUGGAAUUCCCAGUGUAGAGGUGAAAUUCGUAGAUAUUGGGAAGAACACCGGUGGCGAAGGCGGCCAUCUGGACCGUUUCUGACGCUGAGGCGCGAAAGCGUGGGGAGCAAACAGG